rnacentral:rRNA from 1 species
CGUAGAGAAAUCGAGUCUUAAUAGGGCGUUUAGUUGCUGGGUAUAGACCCGAAACCAGGCGAUCUAUCCAUGAGCAGGUUGAAGGUUGGGUAACACUAACUGGAGGACCGAACCCACUGUCGUUGAAAAGCCAGGGGAUGACUUGUGGAUAGGGGUGAAAGGCUAAUCAAGCCUGGUGAUAGCUGGUUCUCCCCGAAAGCUAUUUAGGUAGCGCCUCGGACGAAUACCAUAGGGGGUAGAGCACUGUUUCGGCUAGGGGGUCAUCCCGACUUACCAAACCGAUGCAAACUCCGAAUACCUAUGAGUACUAUCCGGGAGACAGACUGCGGGUGCUAACGUCCGUAGUCAAGAGGAAAACAAUCCAGACCGCCAGCUAAGGCCCCAAAAUCAUAGUUAAGUGGGAAACGAUGUGGGAAGGCAUAGACAGCUAGGAGGUUGGCUUAGAAGCAGCCACCCUUUAAAGAAAGCGUAAUAGCUCACUAGUCGAGUCGGCCUGCGCGGAAGAUGUAACGGGGCUAAAACUAUGUGCCGAAGCUGCGGAUGUAUACUUUGUAUACGUGGUAGGGGAGCGUUCUGUAAGCCGAUGAAGGUGUGUUGAGAAGCAUGCUGGAGGUAUCAGAAGUGCGAAUGCUGACGUGAGUAACGACAAAACGGGUGAAAAACCCGUUCGCCGAAAGACCAAGGGUUCCAGUCCAACGUUAAUCGGGGCUGGGUGAGUCGACCCCUAAGGCGAGGCCGAAAGGCGUAGUCGAUGGGAAAAUGGUUAAUAUUCCAUUACUUCUGUGUAAUGCGAUGAGAGGACGGAGAAGGCUAAAUCAGCCUGGCGUUGGUUGUCCAGGUGAAAG